CUUGUCACAGAAGUCGGCACAUGGAAAUUACAAUGGAAAGGUGGAUUUUGCAUACAUUUUGAGAAUUUGUAUUCACUGGUUUUUUUUUACUGCUUCCAAGUGAGUUGACAUGUAGGAAGUCUGCAUUAUGAUGAUUUUAAGAUGAAUGAGAAACAAUGGCUACUUCCAAUACAAUAGCACAAUUGAUAAAAUGAAUAAGACACAAGGACUGCACUUUUCAUUCUAAGGAAGAUCAACAAAUGAUACCCAAACAAGGAUAUUAUGUUCAUAUCAGAUUCCUGUACAUGAGAUAUAAAGAGAAAAUUCAUUUUCCUGAAAAGACAACUCUUUACUUAUACAUAUGUGUGACAAAAUUAAUGGAAUCAAGACUGUUUUAACUGUGCUUAAAGGAAUACAAAUUAGAAGUUAAUUGACUGUAUUAAAAAAAAGUGAGAAAAAAAUUUACUGUAUGAAAAAGCAGGUUCAGCAAAAGGAAAUAUGUUGAAAUGAAUGAAUAACUAACUGCAAUGAUUCUGGAACAUGUGUUAGUUCAUGAUCAAACAAAGGAAAAAUUUUAUAAGAAAGUGGAAUACAUAUGUGAUAUAGUGUCCUAAUUAUGAUCACUGAGGAGAGGAUGUUUCACAGAACUUUUACUUCAUAAAUGUGUCACUGUGUACAAAUUGUGAUUUCAUUCAGUGGAUAAAUUAUAUUUAGCUGUGCUCCAUGGAAUAUUAAAAUCAAAAUCAUUAA